UUGGAGGCUCUAGUAAACUUAGUAUAAAAGAGCGUUGCUUUGUCUGUAGCCCCACAUCGUUAGAAACGCCUCAUAGAGUAACUCUGUGCUUUGCUUUACUCGCAGAACUGCUAUUGGUUGGAUCUGUGAGAAAGAGCUACAAGACAAAG
rnacentral:snoRNA from 1 species